UACGUAGGGGGCUAGCGUUGUCCGGAAUCAUUGGGCGUAAAGCGCGUGUAGGCGGCCCGAUAAGUCCGCUGUGAAAGUCCAGGGCUCAACCCUGGGAUGCCGGUGGAUACUGUCGGGCUCGAGUCCGGAAGAGGCGAGUGGAAUUCCUGGUGUAGCGGUGAAAUGCGCAGAUAUCAGGAGGAACACCGGUGGCGAAGGCGGGUCUCUGGGCAAUAACUGACGCUGAGGAGCGAAAGCGUGGGGAGCGAACAGG
rnacentral:rRNA from 1 species